AUUGAACGCUGGCGGCAUGCUUUACACAUGCAAGUCGAACGGUGACAGGCCGCAAGGUGCUGACGAGUGGCGAACGGGUGAGUAAUGCAUCGGAACGUGCCCAGUCGUGGGGGAUAACGCAGCGAAAGCUGCGCUAAUACCGCAUACGAUCUAUGGAUGGAAGCGGGGGACCGUAAGGCCUCGCGCGAUUGGAGCGGCCGAUGUCAGAUUAGGUAGUUGGUGGGGUAAAGGCUCACCAAGCCGACGAUCUGUAGCUGGUCUGAGAGGACGACCAGCCACACUGGGACUGAGACACGGCCCAGACUCCUACGGGAGGCAGCAGUGGGGAAUUUUGGACAAUGGGCGCAAGCCUGAUCCAGCAAUGCCGCGUGCAGGAAGAAGGCCUUCGGGUUGUAAACUGCUUUUGUACGGAACGAAACGGCUCUGGUUAAUACCUGGGGCUAAUGACGGUACCGUAAGAAUAAGCACCGGCUAACUACGUGCCAGCCGCCGCCGUAAAAC
rnacentral:rRNA from 1 species